UCCAUUUUGGUUCAUUUAGUGUGACCCCACAUCAUGUUCGGAAGUCACUGUGAGCAAAAAGUGCUUCCUUAUUUGGAUACAAUUGGGUGUACCUUUGCUCCUACGUGAUGACUUUCUUGCCGGCAAACAAGAGCAUUGCAGUGCGGAAUUGUGCUUACAGAACAAGACAUUCUGCACCAUGGUCAUCACAUACACUCAAGUGGUCACGACACUGCAUGGGUGUGUAGUUGUUACCAUUCAUAUUCUUGCUGGUAAAUGCAGUCACUGUUUUACCUUCCUGUUUUAGCUUCCUGUUUUACCUUACCCGGUACCAAAUUAAGGAGAGGUCUAUGGGGGCUUAGCCCUGGGCCCCAACUUCUGACAGUUGGGGAAAGUAGGCUGUCCUAUUAGGCUCCGUUUAUUUAUCCGGCCAUGCCCAUUUUACAAGUUGUGGCCAGCAUCAGCUGCCUAUGUGAGCACUUAUUUUGCCCUUUCAGUGCCCAUAUUUUUUUCAGAUCUUAUAAAACCAGCACAACAGUUUAUUUUCGGUUAUUCUGAAGGGAAAAAAUGACAGAUAAUGGUAAAUGCACUCUUAGUAUGGCCCCCACAUUCCUAUCUUCUUUCUCUAUAUCUUGCCUAGCUUCAUUCUGACGUGCAUGCUUCCGCGAUAGCGCCGCCGUGUCAGGCAAAAUGAAAAAAAAAAAAACCUGCUAUAAAUGUACGACAGAUGGCAGAAACUUGCAAGAGUGGCCCAUGCACUACGGCGCAAAUGGACAAUUGCAGCAGUGCACAAAGUCCGGGAGCCGCCUCUCCAAUGGGCAGGUGCCCACUUUGCGCACCUGCCGACGCCCACAAAGGGGCACAUUCCACAGCCCACUAACAAAAACCAAGACUGAGCAAACCCAGAGAGGUGAGAAAAUAUGUUUCUAUAAAAGCAGAUAGCGAAACUCGUAGCUCGCCAACUUCGUGUUACUGCUGUUAGGAAUGGCCUGCCAGGGUGGCAACGUGCAAGCUAUCUCAGCCCACUGCAGGUGCUUCCAUCUACCCGCGGGGGUGACGCCCUUCAGAGAACCAGCGAGGACAGCGCUAACCAACCGUGAACUUCCUUUGGAGGACUGCGGACUACGGCAGCUCUGGAAUUGAGAGGCGCCGGCUGGGUUCGAGCGUGACCACCUGGCUAUGGGGACGCAGGACAAUGGCUACCACAACGACUGCGCUGCAAAGGUCAUCGGCCCUCGGAGUGAGCAGUGAAACCCGUGCGGCAUGUGUGAGUGUAAAACCCCUACCCCGUUCUCACAAAGGCGACCACCGGGACUUUCUACGAUGACAUCGAACAAUGACGUCGAACGAUGACGUCAAACAGAGUGGUUAUAAGCGGCUGUUGUCGGCUGCUAGUGUGUGCUCGUCGUCGUGCUCUGUGUACAUCAAUGUACUCGUGAGCUGUGUGCUCGUUUGCUGUAUGUUUUGUCUUGCGGGCUCCAUUUGGGAGUCAUGCUAGACUGUGUAAAUAUAUCCCAUGUUCAACUGUAAAUAACAUGUAAAUAAAUCCUGCUCGCCUAGUCCUGUCGCCCCAAGUUCCUGCGAUCGUCCUACAAGCCCGACUCCAAAUCUUACAUCUGAAUGGCAGCGAUGAGAUCGGCCUACGGCUCGUAAAUCGGCCUAUGACUCGGAGACAGCAACGGCAGCUCACGGACUUUGGCACAUCGUGACCGUCCGGUAUCCUGAUCAAGUUGGAGGCGACUUGGGAUUGACCACCUCUUGCAACUGACUGGGUACGGCGGAGAAGGACUGGUGAUAUGGUGCUGCUUCAGUGGCGCGACGGUCGGGUUUGGUCAAACUCAAGAGGAACGUGAACGCUCGCUUUGGCGGCACGAAAUUUUGGGGCAAAAUUUGGGGUUUCCUAGUUGAGUGGCUUGCAUUGAAAUUUUGAUGGGAAGCCUGGUAGGUUAACAGCAGAUUCCGGGCGUUUGAACGCUGAGCGGUAUUGUGUUGCCGGGUCGACUCUUCUGUGCCAGUUGUGAGAUGGUUGAAGGCAUUCCAAGUGCGCAGGGGUUGCAGAGAGCAAAGCCAUCGUCUUGCUUGCCAGCCAUUCUCUUCCUGCCCAGCGGUUGUCAGCACUGGCCAGUCGAGAUUUUCCGGGCCAUGGAGGAGCUGUUAGGAAUGGCCUGCCAGGGUGGCAACGUGCAAGCUAUCUCAGCCCGCUGUAGGUGCUUCCAUCUAUCCGCGGUGGUGACGCCCUUCAGAGAACCAGUGAGGACAGCGCUAACCAACUGUGAACUUCCUUUGGAGGACUGCGGACUACGGCAGCUCUGGAAUUGAGAGGCGCCGGCUGGGUUCGGGCGUGACCACCUGGCUACGGGGACGCAGGACAAUGGCUACCACGACGACUGCGCUGCAAAGGUCAUCGGCCCUCGGAGUGAGCACUGAAACCCGUGCGGCAUGUGUGUGUGUAAAACCCCUACCCCCUUCUCACAAAGGCGACCACAGGGACUUUCUACGAUGACGUCGAACGGAGUGGUUAUAAGCGGCUGUUGUCGGCUGCUAGUGUGUGCUCGUCGUCGUGCUCGUGCUCGAAACGAACUCGUGAGCUGUGUGCUCGUUUUCUGUAUGCUUCAUCUUGCAGGCUCCAUUUGGGAGUCACGCUAGACUGUCGAUGUAUGUCUUGUUUCAACUGUAAAUAAUGUAAAUAAAUCCUGCUCGCCUA